GUGCUCGCUUCAGCAGCACAUAUACUAAAAUUGGAAUGAUACAGAGAAGAUUAGCAUGGCCCCUGCACAAGGAUGACACACAAUUUGUGAAGUGCUCCAUAUUUCA
rnacentral:snRNA from 1 species